rnacentral:tRNA from 2 species
GCACCGCUAGCUCAACUGGCAGAGCAACUGACUCUUAAUCAGUGGGUUCGGGGUUCGAGUCCCUGGCGGUGUACCA